CUGACGUCCCGGGGAGGCCUCUGAUGAACGACGGCGCUCUUCCUGGAUGGCUCCUCCUGCCCAGCCCAGCGUGGAAGGAAUGAGAUGUGAAUCACUAAAUACAGACCACACUCAAGGGGUUGGAAUUGGCUACUUUCACUUUUGAUCCAAUGCACAUCCAUUUUACACACUGGGGGAACUUGAAGAAACAAAACAACAGAUCAAGCAACUCUCUUACCUAACUCCUUUUAAUGGGUUCCUACUGUCUUCAAGAGAAAUAUCUUACUCAUUUUGCAUCACACAUGUGGAGGCUGCUGUAAGAUCCCCUGGAGGGAAACUCCAGGAUGGUUCCAUUUUUGUUUCAGACCAGAAUAUGAGGAUUCUUGAAGCUAUCAGGGCCUUUCAACCUCACCUGGGUGAAUUCUUCAUCUCUACAGAUGGAAAAACAAGACUGAGAAGGGAAGAACUUUGGCUAAGUACUCACACUGUUAGAACUGGAGCUAAACCUAUCCAGGCCUCAGAAAUUCAAGGAACUCUCAAACAACAAACAAACAAAUGAAUGGCCUCAAACAUUGACAGUAUUUAUCAAAAUUUUUCCCACCAGGUUGUUCUUCCAGAUUCCCACUCUCAUUUUCUCUCUUGCUUCCUUUAUUAUUCCUUAUUUAUUCCUAAUUCUUCAUCUUUGUUUCUUUUUCCAGAAACUUUUCUCAACCCCCUUGAAUUUGUCUUCAAAACCUAGCUUUGUGAAGUUCUGUGAAAUAAAUGGAAAGGAGAGAGUCUAGAAGAUUGAAUUAUUGAUCUCGAUUCUUCAUUCCUCUGUAACAGCAUGAGCCUUCCACACCCUUGCUAUGGCCUCAUGGUAACUGGAAUACACGUUCCCAUCUGUGACUUCGGGCUGCUGACUUAUCAUCAACAAGACAUGACAUCUAUAUCCUGCUUCUGUCACUGCCAUGAGCACUUGGCCUGGGUGUCCACUGUCCCUUUAGCUUGGGCUGCAGAAUGAGACAGAAAGAGCAGACCUGACGCAGACCUGCAGGUGAAAGCUAAGCCCAGCAGAGCUCAACAGAGCCCAACUAAUGUCACAGGUGUGCCUGGAAAUCUCUGGAAACAGACUCUGCCUCAGAAAGGAAAGUGGUAUCUAACUAUACACUUGAAAUACCCACACUCCAAGAUAAAGUAGGUUUCAAUAUUUAUUCAGUCAUUCAUUAAUUAAGCCAUUCAACAAAUAAUCAUUGAGCACCAACUAUGACACUAUCCAAGCCUAAAGUUUAUUAACUUUCUGCAGCUACAUGUCAAGAUUUUCCCGUGAAUGCAUUUUUCAGGGGAAGUGUUUCUGGCUUUCUUCAACUACUCAAAUAGGUCCUUAACCCCAACCAAAUAAGUAAAGGCCCUUGGUUUAAGGGUUCACUUGGGAUUUGGUUUAUUUACCAUAAAAGGUCAAUACUGAAUAGUAGUAUUGUAUAACUGCCCACCUAUGAGUACAGAGUAAAGUAAAAGUUCUGCUUAAAUAAUUUGAAUAUUACUAGAAAGGCUGACCAGAAGAGUUGAAUUUUAAUAUGCUAAUUACUAAAUCAGUGCAUUAGUCAUAUGCAAUGAUCAUUCAUAUCAUUUGCAAUUGACACUCUAACCACAUAACUUGCAUCCUAAAAUUACGAUAAAAAUAUUAAACAUUUGUGAAUACUAUCUUAAAUUUUACCUGCUAGAACCUAACAAUUUGUACUUUCAGAACUGUUUUCUCCUGUUACACUAGGGCAGGUCCCCAACAGUUCUGUUAUAGCUGACAUUUUUUCAUUUUCCUAUAUAAUAUGACUUUAAGACCCUUGACUACUCUGAUUUCUAUUCUAUGCAUUUCCUAGUUUGUCACUGAUCCUCUUAAAUAAAUCUGCCAAAGUUCACCAGACUCAAAUGCAAAUGCUUACCUUCUGCUACAGACUGAAUUAUG